GGCAGCCGGAGGUGACCGCGGGCCCUGCAGCCCGGGACAGUGUCCCCUCGGCCGGGGGAUGGCAUCCCGCUAUCUCCCAGAGAAGCACUGUGGUCUUUUAGACACUAUUCCAAGGAUGGACUAACAGGGAAGGAUGAAAAUGGAACAACCUGUGUCACCACUCACGGGCUGGAGGAUGAGCCAAAGAUGGACAAAGCAGCUCCUUCCUUAUGCUGUAACCUUCCUGGGGUUCAAGAUGUGCCGUCCCCAAGGCAAGCCAUGUGCCUGUUCCCAUCUUCCUCCCUGCCUUUGCACAGGGUGGGAUGCACACAACACCGUGGCCAACCCUUGCUAAAGGGGAUCAGAGCAGCUUGAGCCCUCCCUCUGUGCAGGAGCCACCAGAGGGGGUGGAUGGAGAAGCACGGGCUGUGAAUAUCCAGAUCUGGCACUGGUGAGGCUGGAGCUCUGCUGGUGCCACUGAUGCCACCUCUGUCACCUCCAGGCACUGGCACCUGCCUCAGCUCCCACUCAUCAUUCCCAUUAUUUGAGGAACUUUCUGCAAGGCCAGAGCUGACCUAAAACUGAUGGUGACCAGCACAGAAAAAGGCAGAGGAUGUGGAGAGGGUUAAUUACACUCAUCACUACUGUCAGGUUCCUGUAAAAUCAUGCUUCCAUCAGUCAAUCAGGAGUGAAAAAUACUGCCUGGCACAGGGGACCAGACUUCAGAAACACAAAAGAAACCUACCAAAAGAGAGUGUGGAGAAGAUAGGUGUGAGGGCAGGGAAGGAAAUUUUAUCAGCUAAGGAGGUUCUGCUUCAAUUUAAGUCAAAUAAAGCAUCAAUAAACUAAA